GGCCUCGUAGCUCAGAGGAUAGAGCGAAGGUUUCCUAAACCUUGCGUCGCAGGUUCGAAUCCUGCCGGGGCCGCCA
rnacentral:tRNA from 1 species